CAAUUGUCGAGGCGGUGGCUAGUGCCUAAUGGUCCUAUGUUGUUUACUUUAAAAAAUAAAAAUGAAAAUGAAUAAUUGGUAGAGAGGAGAUGAAGAAGGGUUUGGGAAGGAAGCCAGGAAGCAACAAGUCAACGUCGGUGGCUGUAAGAAAAGGCUAGAAAUCCACCAUUAAAACUCUCUCAAAAUAUACAUAUGACUAAGAUGAGUGUAGAAUCUCAAGGGAUUUCCAUGCAUGGCUCUUCGUCUUCACAAAUACAAAAACCCUAUGAAUAUGUUAGUGCUUUUGUGUUUCAAACUGGGCUUAACCGGUUUUAUGUAUUUUGGUUUGAGAGGUUGAAGCUGCCAGCGUGAUCUGGUUAGAAACAAAUCUAUAUUGUUCUUUUCUUGUAUUUGCACACUCAUCUACCCAAAAUCCAAUCAAACCUCCACCGUUGAUCCAUGAUUUUGAGUUAUUGAUUUUCUGGGAUUUGAUUUUCUACGAUUUGGGUUCAAUCAGGUCAUCUAGCAGCUUCAAUCACUCACCAACAAUACUAUAACUUUGCACUCAACAUCUGAUCAUGGAUUGGUCCCCCCUUGCAUUUCUUGAAUUCUUCAGCAGAGGUAAUUUCUACUUUAUCCUUUAAUAAUUAUUCCACUUAUUCAAUUAAACCAUGUAUAUGAUUUGAACCUCAGUAGUAGUCUGGUAUAUAAUCUUGAAAUUCUUUUUGCAAAUUGCCACAUGCAUACAAGAAGGGACUUGCUGAUUUCAAUUAAACCUGGAUAAAAGUGGCACCAAAAUGUGUAUGAUCCAAGGCAGCUGGCUAAUUUCCUCCCAUUAUUUUCAGAAAUUUAAACCCCCAACCUAUUUCUUAAUUUCAGUCUUUUCUUCCAAAUAAAUAAGCAUAUACUGGCUUGAGCUACUCGGGGCCUUUUAAUAUGACCAUAGAUCUUAACAAAUAUAUAUUUUCCAUCUCUUUCAAGCUGAAGAAAUCAAGACGGAUAUAUAAGUUGUCUGCAAGUUCCGAAACACGAGAAAGGCGUGCUAUUAGUCAAUUAUAAACGUUAGAUUAAGUUUAUAUAUGCUGAAUAUUUACUGGUGGUGUAAAUUCUGUCAUCUUCACAAAAUAUAUGAUAUCUAUGUAUAACCAGUGCAGUAAAAGUUAAUCUCACAUUUUACUGCAAGAUUUUAGAAGUAUGAUUCUCACUGUGGUUCAAGCGUAACCGAAGGCACAGGUCAUGAUAUUCUUUAUCAAAAUUUUCAUCGUCGACGUGAUGCAAUGAAACUUAUGGUUGACCGCCUAGCUAGAAGGAGAUCAUGUGGGGGAUGUCAAGAUCGAAGCACUGACCCAACGUGGUAUGAAUAUAAAUAAAGGAAGCUAGCAGCACGCACAAAGAUGUGACAUGAAUAUAACUAUAUCAGCUGUAGUAUAGUAGUAAUUUUUCUGAUGGUUGACAUUAUAUAUCUCUUGUUAUUAUUGCACAUGGAUGCAUUUAAUUAAAUUUACUUUAAAUAAUUUGCUGAAGUAUAUUGUCAUUUCAUGUUGAUUAUGCAUCCAUUUCUAGUUAUAUAUAUAUUUUCUAAUUUUUUACACCA
rnacentral:lncRNA from 1 species